UGUCAUCAGCGCCUUGCAGCCUCGGGAGCACGGGAAGCAACAUGUGCAGAUGCUAUUUUUCCACCAUGUGUGUGACCUGGAGGACUUGUCAGAUUUGGACAAGGCUCAGCAGAAGAGGCCCUGGCUUGGGAGUGAGCCAGAUGAGGCCCGGGGCAGGGAGGACUGAACUCAAACCGUGUCCAAGGCCCCGAGGAAGGGUCUGUACUGUCCAUUCCUCCCUCAUGCAUGAUGGGAAUUUGUAUCCCAGGAAGCUACAGUUACCUACCAUCAUUCCCAUUCAUGCUUUCGUCUCGUUUGUGGAAAAGCAGCCCCAAGAAGGCCCACAAAGCCGUGUGGAAGCCGCCCCAAACAUCCAGGAAGUAGUAUGGCUCUCCUGCAGACUUUUCCUUUCUGGUGACUUCUGCAGCUUCCUCAAACCAUAAAGUGACGUAAUAACACAGAAA